rnacentral:lncRNA from 1 species
GAGAUGCUUGGAGGUACAUUUUCUCACAUCUACAAAGGAGAAGAAAUGCAACUAAAGCUUUAACUGGCUGUGAUGAAGGGAAAUCAGCCAUUGGAUGAGUUUGUCAGGAAGUUCAAAAUCUUAUGUCAGUCUCAUAGCUAUACAACAGACCAUGCAGUGGACAAAGUCUUCCAACUGUCAAGAUCCUUGGGACCUCAUUACUAGGUCUGUGACUUGGCAGUUCUAUCAAAACCAUCAU